rnacentral:rRNA from 1 species
AUUGAACGCUGGCGGCAGGCCUAACACAUGCAAGUCGAGCGGAGCGGCGAACGGGUGAGGAAUGCCUGGGAAGCUGCCUGGUAGUGGGGGAUAACGUCCGGAAACGGGCGAUAAUACCGCAUAAUAGCAGAUGAGCCUCGGUAGGAGGAGGUAGUUGGUGGGGUAAAGGACUACCAAGGCGACGAUGCGUAACUGGCCUGAGAGGAUGAUCAGUCACACUGGGACUGAGCCACGGUCCAGACUCCGACGGUAGGCAGCAGUAGGGAAUAUUUGACAAUGGUCGAAAGCCUGAUCCAGCAAUGCCGCGUGUGUGAAGAAGGUCUUCGGAUUGUAAAGCUCUUUUAGUUGGGAGGCGUUACCUACCGAAUAAGCACCGGCUAACUUCGUGCCAGCAGCCGCGGUAAUAC